GGGCCCUUAGCUCAGCGGUCAGAGCAACCGGCUCAUACCCGGACGGUCCCAGGUUCGAAUCCUGGAGGGCCCACCA
rnacentral:tRNA from 1 species